UCGGGUUUAGUCCUUUUUAUUUAUUUGUUGGUCAGCCUAGUCCUAGUGGGAUUAGUUAAUAAUAUUUGGCAAAAAGUUACUUUUGGUCCCUAUGAUUUACUACUUUUACCACUAAGGUCCAUGUGGUUUCAAUUUAAUCACUUUUGUCCCUGUGGUUUCAAUUGGAUGCAAUUUAAGGACAAUUCCUAAUUUGUGAUACUUAUUGAGGGGCAUUUCAGUCCAAACUUGCAGCCCCUCCCCAACCACCUCCACAGCCACUAGCCCCUCCAAGAACUCCUCCCUGUUGUAAACAUUGACAAUCCCAUUGUCUAAACUAGCAACAAACAAUGCUCCUUGGAGAUGUACAAAGAGAUGUACCAUUUAUACAACCUUCAUCAACAAUUUUUUAAUAGAGAUUAUG
rnacentral:lncRNA from 1 species